UGCUUCUAUGACGUUAGCGGCGGACGGGUGAGUAACACGUGGGCAACCUGCCUGUAAGACUGGGAUAACUUCGGGAAACCGAAGCUAAUACCGGAUAGGAUCUUCUCCUUCAUGGGAGAUGAUUGAAAGAUGGUUUCGGCUAUCACUUACAGAUGGGCCCGCGGUGCAUUAGCUAGUUGGUGAGGUAACGGCUCACCAAGGCAACGAUGCAUAGCCGACCUGAGAGGGUGAUCGGCCACACUGGGACUGAGACACGGCCCAGACUCCUACGGGAGGCAGCAGUAGGGAAUCUUCCGCAAUGGACGAAAGUCUGACGGAGCAACGCCGCGUGAGUGAUGAAGGCUUUCGGGUCGUAAAACUCUGUUGUUAGGGAAGAACAAGUACGAGAGUAACUGCUUGUACCUUGACGGUACCUAACCAGAAAGCCACGGCUAACUACGUGCCAGCAGCCGCGGUAAUACGUAGGUGGCAAGCGUUAUCCGGAAUUAUUGGGCGUAAAGCGCGCGCAGGCGGUUUCUUAAGUCUGAUGUGAAAGCCCAC
rnacentral:rRNA from 2 species